CUUGACGUCACAUCUCACCAGUUAGGUGGUCUCGUCUGGAAGUAUGGUUUGAUGCAGGAGUUUUAAUGAACUGGGAGUAUCCUUUAUGCAAGUUGGUACCAUUUCCACUGUAUUCUUAAAUAGGAAAACCAGCCACUUUGCCAAUGGUUCAAGGACACCCCAAUGGCUGAUACUAUAUGCCUACCUAAACCCAUACAUACCCACUUUGUUUUUUCAGUACAAUGAUUU